UGGGGAAUAUUGCACAAUGGGCGCAAGCCUGAUGCAGCCAUGCCGCGUGUAUGAAGAAGGCCUUCGGGUUGUAAAGUACUUUCAGCGGGGAGGAAGGGAGUAAAGUUAAUACCUUUCUCACUUGACGUUACCCGCAGAAGAAGCACCGGCUAACUCCGUG
rnacentral:rRNA from 1 species